GCCUACGGGGGGCAGCAGUGGGGGAUAUUGCACAAUGGGGGAAACCCUGAUGCAGCGACGCCGCGUGGGUGAAGAAGCGCCUCGGCGCGUAAAGCCCUGUCAGCAGGGGAGAAAAUGACGGUACCUGAAGAAGAAGCCCCGGCUAACUACGUGCCAGCAGCCGCGGUAAUACGUAGGGGGCAAGCGUUAUCCGGAUUUACUGGGUGUAAAGGGGGCGCAGACGGCGAUGCAAGCCAGGAGUGAAAGCCCGGGGCCCAACCCCGGGACUGCUCUUGGCACUGCGUGCCUAGAGUGCAGGAGCGGCA
rnacentral:rRNA from 1 species